GUGGGGAUUAGUGGCGAACGGGUGAGUAACACGUGGGCAAUCUGCCCUGCACUCUGGGACAAGCCCUGGAAACGGGGUCUAAUACCGGAUACUGAUCCUCGCAGGCAUCUGCGAGGUUCGAAAGCUCCGGCGGUGCAGGAUGAGCCCGCGGCCUAUCAGCUUGUUGGUGAGGUAACGGCUCACCAAGGCGACGACGGGUAGCCGGCCUGAGAGGGCGACCGGCCACACUGGGACUGAGACACGGCCCAGACUCCUACGGGAGGCAGCAGUGGGGAAUAUUGCACAAUGGGCGAAAGCCUGAUGCAGCGACGCCGCGUGAGGGAUGACGGCCUUCGGGUUGUAAACCUCUUUCAGCAGGGAAGAAGCGAAAGUGACGGUACCUGCAGAAGAAGCGCCGGCUAACUACGUGCCAGCAGCCGCGGUAAUACGUAGGGCGCAAGCGUUGUCCGGAAUUAUUGGGCGUAAAGAGCUCGUAGGCGGCUUGUCACGUCGGUUGUGAAAGCCCGGGGCUUAACCCCGGGUCUGCAGUCGAUACGGGCAGGCUAGAGUUCGGUAGGGGAGAUCGGAAUUCCUGGUGUAGCGGUGAAAUGCGCAGAUAUCAGGAGGAACACCGGUGGCGAAGGCGGAUCUCUGGGCCGAUACUGACGCUGAGGAGCGAAAGCGUGGGGAGCGAACAGGAUUAGAUACCCUGGUAGUCCACGCCGUAAACGGUGGGCACUAGGUGUGGGCAACAUUCC
rnacentral:rRNA from 1 species